rnacentral:rRNA from 1 species
UUUCUUUUAUGGAGAGUUUGAUCCUGGCUCAGGACGAACGCUGGCGGCGUGCCUAAUACAU